rnacentral:misc_RNA from 1 species
CACGGACCCGAAAUUAUACAUCAAAUCAACCAAAUUGCAGCGUUGCGUCCGGUCUUCCUUUCCCAACUCGGUCGACGCGUUCGCCACGGCUGCGCAGUCCUCCUCCUCGCCUCCGAUCCCCUCCCUUCGACGAUGCGAGCACACCCGCUCAUCCUCUUCGUACCUGCACCGCCACCUCAUCCUCUUCCUCGCCGCGCCGACACCCACCGCGCUCUCUCCCUCCCGCGGCGACGCCCUUCGCCAACGAGAACCGCACGCCGUCGUCUCCCACGGGCACUGUCGCACGCUGGGCCACGCUGCAGUCGGUGGCGCCGCCACACCUUCUUCCUCCAUGUGCCGUCGCCGCCCUAUUCUUCUUCGAGAUGCAGCCGCUAGCGCUGCCCUCCUCCCAGCUCCCCUUCAUGGCCGCGUGCAGGGACUAUGUGCCAGUGUUAGUUUUUGGUACCAGUCUACAGGUCUUUCAUUUCUACAUUCAAAGAAAACUUUACAUGGUACCGGAACCGGGACCAGCGGCGACGGUGUAGUGGUGAGGAGGCAGAGGAGUGCCUUCGGCCUCGACGGAAGAAGGCCGCCGAUGGAGAAGAAGACCAGCUGGGAGCGUGGCGCGGCGUCGCGGUCGUGCACGAGGAGGAGGAGCCUGCACUUGCCGGAGGGAGAAGAAGCAUGUAGCACGGUGCGGUGCUGCAGUCGUGCGUGAGAGUUGAGACCACAAUCCUUAUGAAAAGUUACACUUAAUACAAGAUUAGACCAUCCCUGCACAUCUGCCUAUCUGCCUGGCAAAAUAUUAUCGUCGCUUCCAAGAUUGAGAAUAUGGCUGCGUUUGGAAAGCCUUAGAUUCUAGCAUUGGUGAUCGGUUGUGUGUACGUGUCUCCCGUCUGUGAAAAAUUUAUGAUCCCGAGGAUGAGUAUAAGCUUUUCCAUGCUCAUAUGGUCCUCAUCGACGAGGAGGCUGGCAGUGCUCAUGCUCAAAUAUACCCUCCACUCACUGACGUUUUCAAACCUCUGAUAAAGGAGGGCAAUGUCUACAAUGUCUCCUACAUUCAGAUCAAGAAAGCUAAUAGGAUGUACAAGCAUGUUGACAACGAUAUCAUGAUCGGUUUCACAAAAUGGAUCCUAUGCUGCCUCAACAAACCCGCGGUUUGAACACGUGACAGAUGACGGCUUAGCUUCUGUGGAUGGACAUCUUGGUCGCUUUUGUAGAUGGAAUGUUUGGUUGGCUUUUGUAGACAGAAUUAGGCUGCACUUGUGAUUGUGUAACGCUUAUGAGCAUGGUUGUGUGGACUGUGUCGGCCAAAGUAUACCUCCCAAUGCCUUGUAUAUAUCACAUGCUUAGCUGUCUAUCCCCAACUAGGUCGCCUGAUAAUAGACUUCGAUCAUGUCAUGCUAUUCUAUAACAAUUUUCGCUGUAACUUGCCUAAUCGUCAUACUAUGGUACACGCUUAAAUUUGGUGCUGCAACUUUAUUGUGGAUUAUGUUCAGUCUAUCUGUGUUUAGUUUGGUGUUUUGUUGGUGAUUCGAUCAUAC